rnacentral:lncRNA from 1 species
CCUGACUCCACCCUCAGUCCAUUGCCUUAGCCCUGGCUCUCAGCAUUUCAGCUGUCCUUUUGGAUUUUUCACCUCUUCUGUCCCUUACCCUCCUCCCUUCCCACCAGGAGCCUCCAUUCACAAGAAACUUCCUGCCUAGCUGGAGCUAAGAAGACAAGUGCACCUGAUAAGAGCACACUAGCGUUCCAAGGGCAUAUCCUUCUCAUCACCUUUAUUUGAUUUGAUGUUCCUUAUGAACGAUGGUGCUAAGGACACGCCCACCCACCCAUUUGUUGGUGUGUUUGCUGUUUACAGCUACCUCCGCUAACAGAGCGGGCGCAGGCCCCAUUGCGUCUGGAGCAGAACACAGGAGACAGGUGGUCGCAAGUGGAUGGACAAACGUAAUGGGCGCACAUCCCACAUGGAUGAACGAAGAGCAUUCGGCCCUGCUCCGUGCCCUUGGCCGCCAAAGAAGGCCCAGGCUGGGGCGCCCUCCGUCCUGGAUGCGCACCUGCCGCGCCCCAGCCCGCGCCGCGAAGCAGCGGGGCCCCGCAGCAGCUGGUUGUCACGGCAACGCCUGGAGCGGGCAGGUGGGCAGAGAGGGUGGGAGCCUGGCCCAAAGCGCUUCCCACACCCUCGGCUGACCCACCCCUGGCCAGCACUUUUAGCUUUCGGCUAGACUGAAAAGAGCAACCUCGCCGUGGUCUUAAUUUGCAUUUCUUUGCUGUUUGGUGAGCAUAAGUGUCUUUUCCCGUGUUUAUCGGCCGACUCUGUUCAUUCUGGGGAUUUCAUAUAUAUGUAUGCAUGCGCAUAUUGAUGUGUUUCUGUAUAUAUAUGUACCUUUUACAUUUUAAAAAAUUACCUUUAAUGGUUAUCGUCUCCUUGUUAAAAAUGAAAAUGUCUUUGGCCAAUAUCCUGAUGCUGAUCCUUUCCCACCCAAGUAAUUAGUGUUAUUACUCGGUGUGACUUCUUUCAGACUUUAAGCUAUGCACUUUCAUUCACAUAUGCUCCCCCCAAAAUUAUGUAGUUUUGUGGCUUUACCAAUUUAUAUAUAUAUAUACACACACACAUAUACAUAUUUAUAUAGGCAUAAGCCCGAUGUGUAUAUAUACAUAUAUGCAUGAAUAUGUAAAAGGAAUCAUAUCGUAUGUUUUUUUCUGAAGGUUGUUUUCCCCCCUCAAAAAUUUAUCUUGGAAAAAAACAUAUAUCUUGGUUCUCCUUCCAUAUCAGUCAUAUAGAUUUGCUUAGCUCUUUUAAACUAUGAUGUAGUAUUUUAUAAUAUGGAUACAACACAGUUAACCAUUCAUCCACCGAUGAAGCUUUUUGGUUGUUUAUGAUUGACUAUUAUUGGGAACGAUGCUUCAAUGAGUGUUAUCUCUUUAGCCAUGCCAAAUGUGUUUCUCGGUGGUCGAUACUCCAACAUGCAUUCACUAGCUCCUACACAAAUAUAUUUUAAUACAAAUUUUAGUGACGAUCAGCAACAUAUUAAAUGCUCACUUUGUGCUCAGAAGAUUGUAACCCCCCGCCACGGACUGCCUGCGGAGUUGGGUUUCUCAGAAGGAGGCUGAAGCUACAGGUGACUCCAGGUUGGCUGCUGCUUGGACCACGUGGUGGAGGCACAACUGAGCUAGAUCCCAUAAAGGUGCUGAAUCAAG